rnacentral:ncRNA from 1 species
UAACUGAAGAGUUUGAUCAUGGCUCAGAUUGAACGCUGGCGGCAGGCCUAACACAUGCAAGUCGAGCGGAAGAAGGGAGCUUGCUCCCGGAUU